rnacentral:rRNA from 1 species
CCAGACUCCUACGGGAGGCAGCAGUGGGGAAUAUUGCACAAUGGGGGGAACCCUGAUGCAGCGACGCCGCGUGAAGGAUGAAGUAUUUCGGUAUGUAAACUUCUAUCAGCAGGGAAGAAAAUGACGGUACCUGACUAAGAAGCCCCGGCUAACUACGUGCCAGCAGCCGCGGUAAUACGUAGGGGGCAAGCGUUAUCCGGAUUUACUGGGUGUAAAGGGAGCGUAGACGGCAUGGCAAGUCUGAUGUGAAAACCCGGGGCUCAACCCCGGGACUGCAUUGGAAACUGUCAGGCUAGAGUGUCGGAGAGGCAAGUGGAAUUCCUAGUGUAGCGGUGAAAUGCGUAGAUAUUAGGAGGAACACCAGUGGCGAAGGCGGCUUGCUGGACGAUGACUGACGUUGAGGCUCGAAAGCGUGGGGAGCAAACAGGAUUAGAUACCCGCGUAA